rnacentral:rRNA from 1 species
UUGAACGCUGGCGGCAUGCUUUACACAUGCAAGUCGAACGGCAGCACGGGGGGUAACCCCUGGUGGCGAGUGGCGAACGGGUGAGUAAUAUAUCGGAACGUGCCCUGUAGCGGGGGAUAACCUAUCGAAAGAUGGACUAAUACCGCAUACGCUCUACGGAGGAAAGCGGGGGCCGCAAGGCCUCGCACUAUAGGAGCGGCCGAUAUCGGAUUAGCUAGUUGGCGGGGUAAAAGCCCACCAAGGCGACGAUCCGUAGCUGGUCUGAGAGGAUGAUCAGCCACACUGGAACUGAGACACGGUCCAGACUCCUACGGGAGGCAGCAGUGGGGAAUUUUGGACGAUGGGCGCAAGCCUGAUCCAGCCAUGCCGCGUGAGUGAAGAAGGCCUUCGGGUUGUAAAGCUCUUUCGGCGGGAACGAAAUGGUUCGUGCUAAUACCACGGAUUGAUGACGGUACCUGAAGAAGAAGCACCGGCUAACUACG